GGGGAAUAUUGGACAAUGGGGGGAACCCUGAUCCAGCCAUGCCGCGUGUGUGAAGAAGGCCUUAUGGUUGUAAAGCACUUUAAGCGAGGAGGAGGCUCUCUUGGUUAAUACCCAAGAAGAGUGGACGUUACUCGCAGAAUAAGCACCGGCUAACUCUGUGCCAGCAGCCGCGGUAAUACAGAGGGUGCGAGCGUUAAUCGGAUUUACUGGGCGUAAAGCGUGCGUAGGCGGCUUUUUAAGUCGGAUGUGAAAUCCCCGAGCUUAACUUGGGAAUUGCAUUCGAUACUGGGAAGCUAGAGUAUGGGAGAGGAUGGUAGAAUUCCAGGUGUAGCGGUGAAAUGCGUAGAGAUCUGGAGGAAUACCGAUGGCGAAGGCAGCCAUCUGGCCUAAUACUGACGCUGAGGUACGAAAGCAUGGGGAGCAAAC
rnacentral:rRNA from 1 species